rnacentral:rRNA from 1 species
GGAGGAUGCGAGCGUUAUCCGGAUUUACUGGGUGUAAAGGGAGCGUAGGCGGCUUAGUAAGUCAGAAGUGAAAGCCCGCAGCUCAACUGCGGGACUGCUUUUGAAACUGCCAGGCUAGAGUGUCGGAGAGGUAAGUGGAAUUCCUAGUGUAGCGGUGAAAUGCGUAGAUAUUAGGAGGAACACCAGUGGCGAAGGCGGCUUACUGGACGAUGACUGACGCUGAGGCUCGAAAGCGUGGGGAGCAA